rnacentral:rRNA from 1 species
GGGGAAUAUUGCGCAAUGGGGGAAACCCUGACGCAGCAAUACCGCGUGAGUGAAGAAGGUUUUCGGAUCGUAAAGCUCUGUUAUUGGGGAAGAAAAAAAGACGGUACCCAAGAAGAAAGUCCCGGCUAACUACGUGCCAGCAGCCGCGGUAAUACGUAGGGGACAAGCGUUGUCCGGAUUUACUGGGCGUAAAGGGUGAGUAGGCGGUAAUAUGUGUCAGAUGUAAAAGGCUAUGGCUUAACCGGUAACAUGCAUUUGAAACUGAAAGACUUGAGUAUUGGAGAGGCAAGUGGAAUUCCUAGUGUAGCGGUGAAAUGCGUAGAUAUUAGGAGGAACACCGGUGGCGAAGGCGGCUUGCUGGACAAAUACUGACGCUGAGGUGCGAAAGCGUGGGGAGCAAACA